AACCUCAAGCCAAACUUAAGUGCAUUCAAAAACCUGUGAUGUCACAUAAUAUGUCACAGCACCAAAGGAGAAAACAGUUGAAAGGAAAACACCAAAGAUGGAGAUGCCAUUACUGUGGGAAAUUUGGUCAUCUAAAGCCAUUCUGCUAUAAACUGUAUGGCUAUCCUAGGUCUGCUCAUCAUCAGGAUCACCAUCAAUUCAGA
rnacentral:lncRNA from 1 species